CUAGGAGUUCUUUAGUUUCAUGCUCCUGCGCACUUAUGUCGAUAUUAGUUAAUCCGAAUCUCUUGUACCUACAAGGAACUCGCGUGUACAAAAGCUUACACGCUUCAUGGGUUGUGCGUCACAGCGACUCGUGUUAUAUCUACUCAUAUCUUGCUCAAUAUUUGUUAUAUCUAUACAAAUUGAUUAGUUUUGUACUUCAACCCAGUGUGGACACUACUGUAACAACUACUUAACUAAGAGCCCUUAACAUGUCACAGGAAAAACCAAACUAUUAUGAUUACCAUGAAGAAACUCAAAAGGAAAAACUUAUAAGAAAAUCAAAAGAAUCUCCUUUUAUGGUCGUUGCUAUCGCAGGACUAGUGACGGCAGUCGGUUUUGGCGCCUACUCGUACAAAAGGCGUGGCGCAAUGAGUACGAGCGUGUUCCUCAUGCAGUUCCGAGUGAUAGCUCAGGGCACGGCCGUCGGCGCGCUUACCGCCGGCAUGACCUACACACUCUAUAAUACUUAUAUUAACAAGACCGCGAAAAAAACUAAUGAACACUGAUGCAAUUCAAAUUAUUCACCUACCUACCUAUAUGUAGCUAAGUACAAUAUGUAUUUUAAUAUCAGAAAACUCAGUUCCUGGAGAACUAUGUUAACCGAAAGUUUAAUUAGUUCAAUGAUAAGAUGGCCAAGACAAUAUUUUCAAAAUACUUCUUGGCACCAAAAUAAAACCAACCUACAAUAUUAGAAAUACGUUGUUAUAACUUAAGUAUUAUAACAGCUAGUCAUUCAAUUAUUGUACCUACAUACCUCUCUACCAAGCGUUUCCUCACUCUAUUCAAUGUUGGUUCGCAAUAAAAAGGCAUAGAAAAUUAAAUGCUUGAGACGCAUGACCAAAAGAGAUAUGUACGAGGACUUCUUUGGGACAGUAUCAAAAUACGUGUUGAUAUCAUUCGGAAAUAACUCUUAAGACCAAAAAAAUAAGAGCUUGUCACGCUGUUGUAACUUAUAUUAUCAGUUAGAUAAAGUAAGUUAAUAUUGAUGUAUGUAAUAUGUACCCACAGAGGUUUAGAUUAUUGUGGAAUGUAUGGAUUUAGAAUUAUUGUAAUAAUUGUGUUACAAAUGUGUUUAAUUGAAUAUUUAUGCAAUAAAUUGUAAGAUACGAAUUUUUUCUCCACCA
rnacentral:misc_RNA from 1 species